UAAACAUUUCAACAACUGUAGGAAGAAUACAUGUUAUUACCAUCUGGCUUACGUUUUAGCACCCCCUUGGCUCUUAAACAGAGAUACAAAAACUAUUUUACUCCUCCUUCCAUUCAAGCACUCAACUCAGCUAAGAGGAGGUGAUAGCCCUUGUUUACAUUGAUGACCCAUUUAUUUAUUUUAUUUAUCUUUAUU